UACGGAGGGUGCGAGCGUUGUCCGGAAACAUUGGGCGUAAAGGGCGCGUAGGUGGCCCGGUCAGUUCGUGGUGAAAGCGCGGGGCUCAACCCUGCGUCGGCCAUGAAUACUGCCGCGGCUGGAGCACUGUAGAGGCAGGCGGAAUUCCGGGUGUAGCGGUGGAAUGCGUAGAGAUCCGGAAGAACACCGGUGGCGAAGGCGGCCUGCUGGGCAGUUGCUGACACUGAGGCGCGACAGCGUGGGGAGCAAACAGG
rnacentral:rRNA from 1 species